UUGAACUUACGACACACCAAAAAACACAGUAAAUACAGUAAACAACACCAAGAGCACCAUUGGAGAAAUGACACACUGCGAUGUUUAACAAACUUGUCUAUGACAGGGCUUUACCAUGCAGAUUUUCCGCUUUAUAUAUUGGUGUUUCAAUAUGAACGGUUGGAAGGGUCAUUCAGUGCAACAGAUUUGUGUUCUGCCUUAGAAAGAAAGUCAUACACAUCUGGGAUAGCAUGAGGCAACAUUUCUUGAUGAUGCAGAAGCAGCAGGUGAGGACGAGGAGCGCGGCCACUACGGCGAUGGCGAUGAGCGCCCAUGGAGGCACUGCAGAGCAUCAUGAGAGAUAACAGAGAGGUUUAUUCAGAGAGGAUGGUGGAG